rnacentral:piRNA from 1 species
UGNGAGGCUUGUCUAAGCUCAGAUGCAUC